UGGGGAAUAUUGCACAAUGGGCGCAAGCCUGAUGCAGCCAUGCCGCGUGUGUGAAGAAGGCCUUCGGGUUGUAAAGCACUUUCAGCGAGGAGGAAGGUGGGUGAGCUUAAUACGCUCAUCAAUUGACGUUACUCGCAGAAGAAGCACCGGCUAACUCCGUGCCAGCAGCCGCGGUAAUACGGAGGGUGCAAGCGUUAAUCGGAAUUACUGGGCGUAAAGCGCACGCAGGCGGUUUGUUAAGUCAGAUGUGAAAUCCCCGGGCUCAACCUGGGAACUGCAUUUGAAACUGGCAAGCUAGAGGUCUCGUAGAGGGGGGUAGAAUUCCAGGUGUAGCGGUGAAAUGCGUAGAGAUCUGGAGGAAUACCGGUGGCGAAGGCCGGCCCCCCUGGACGAAGACUGACGCUCAGGUGCGAAAA
rnacentral:rRNA from 1 species